CAUGAAAACAAACAUGCAAUAGAUUCAUAUUGAUUAUUUAAAUAAUUCGAUUAUUUGAACCCACCAUUGAAAAUGCACAAAUGACAAAAAUGACGACUAACUGCUCCCAUUGGUGCUUCAACAGUUAGACAAUAUUUCACACUAAUUUCUUUAGUGUCAUACAGAGAGUAUUAUAUUACCUGAAAAGUGUUCAAUGCAAUUGAUUUCCGUUGCACUGUAAAAUGUUUUUCUGCUGAUCACUUGGCAGGUUUGGUUACAAGAGACUUUCAAAACCACAAACUGUGCUGUGGUCUUCUGCACUUGCUGCUCCUUGAAAGCUCAGGCUGUGCUUUGAAAUACUACAAAAUAUUGAUGACAGUUUCACAUCCAAUGACUGCUCAGACAGAUGGACUUUCUGGAGAUCUUUUGAAGUAGCUAUUAGCACAAAUCAAAGCUUGCAUGCGUUCUUAUCUUUCUCUUUGCCCUUCUAGAAUAUUCAUAAAUGAAUUGGAGUCUUGUUAUUCAUGUGAUAGAAUAAAGCAGAUGAAUCAUGAACUAAAGUAACUUCAUUGUUUUGUUAUAUUUUCUAUCAAUACCAUUCAUAAUUAAUAAGUUGCACAAUCAUUCCUGGAUGAAUUAAGUUUUAUUCCCAUUUGUUAAUCAUUGUCUCGGGCCAUGUAUGUUUCAUUAUUGACAACAUCUGUCCAUAUUUACUCCAAGAAUUAAGUUAUAGUUCAAAACCUAACUUUUCUUAAGUGUUUGAAAUGACUAUGUGGUGUUCUUAAUUUCAGCUGCUGUUUCAUCUCUCUCAGUAGGUGCCUAUUUUAUUGUUAAAGGUCACACUCAUUUGUCUGCAGCAACAAAGGCAGCCUUAAAGUUGGCUGUGGAUUUGACAGACAGUGGUCCCUAUAAGUGAUGGCCUUAAGGACAGGCCUGGCACUGGGAGACAGUCACCACAGCAAGGGAAAUAACAGAUAACAAAUCAUGCCACUAUUUUUCCUCCUGGCGUGAUUGACGAUAUCACAGCGGGUGCAACUUUUCAAUGUCCUCAGAUUAAAACCGCUCAAACAAAUGAGUUCUGAACAUACUGUCCAGGGUAUCAAAGUAGGUUGCUGCAGUCAAAAAUGUUUUCAGAAAACCAUGAUUUUGUCUUUUUUUUUAAACAACAUCCAUUCAGCGAUCAUGUAGAAGUUUCCAAUUUUAAUAUUGCUUUAUUCAACGCAAACUUUAUAAAAAUAAAUAAACUGAUAAAAUCGCACUUCACAAUAAAAUCAAGGCUUCCACAAUAACACACUGAAGUAGGUGAGUGCACCUUUUAUUUAUGCAUACCUAUUACUAAUAGACUUGCCUAACUGAAUGGAUCCCCACUUGACAUCAAUUUUCAUCCACUUGCUGAAAUUUGUACUGUGUUCCACACAUGCACUAUGUACUGUGUACUCUAAACAAAUCUGUGACAAUGCACAUUUUGUGUUGAAUUGUAUGAUGGCCGUGCUUAAGUUAACACUUGUUUUAAGUAAAUGAUGAAUUUGCCCAACGCUGAAACUGACACGGCAGCCCUAAAACAAAUACUUGACUGACUUUCAACAAUAUGGCAUCUCGUAAAACUGAUCUGUAAAAAUGAAUAAUUUAGAAAAAAUGUUUGUUUAAACAGAUGUGACUUACAUCGUAUUUACCAACUGUCAGGCAGCCAGAAUAUUUAAUCAACAGCAUUAUAAAAUAUUUAUUUCAAAAAAUCGUUCUGUAAUGCCACAAACCUCCAUUCACUGUUCAGGCAAGUAAAACAAAUCAUUCAUCAAGCAGGAUUCGUUAUAUCUGGUUGGUGAAUUCAGUUACAUAGUUACAUACAAACCUACUACUGGACUUUAAUAAGCGAAUGCCUCAGGACUUUAACUACUGUAUGCAUAUCAGCCCAAGCAUCGCUGAGACCAUUCAUGGUCACAAAGUAUAUGCGAUUUUCUAAAUGCUCAGCAGCACAGUUUAAGAAUUUGCAGUGCAGGGUGAGUGAUGUGAUCAGUACAUAGAUGAAACUAGCCAUGGUUUUCUGAUUCCUUUGUACUGAAGCGGAUUUGUUACAUGUCUGCUUUGUGCACAAUGUAUUUCUGUUAUACUGAUUUGUUGACCUGUGAUUAAAUGUUCUAAUAAACUUAGGUGGCUGCUGUACAGACAGAACAUCUGGAGCUGCGUUUAAUUUCAUGUCAGAUUUAGACAGGAAACACCUGCCUAGGUGAAGUAAUUAAAAAAAAGAGAGAUUAAUCCAUGUGCUGGGGAACUGAAUGUCACAGUCAUCGCGUUGGAAGCAAUGUCAACAAAUACAAUGGUCAAAAUUAAUUUAGACUAAGUGAUCUAAAAUGCACAAAAAAAUUAAUUUGUCCAAAUAUUAUCACAUCAUUCUGCAGCAUAGACACCGGAAGCAAAUUUUUCCAAAAUCUUAGAAAUGAAUGCUUUCAGACACCAGUUCAAGUAUUUCUUUAUAACUGCUGUACAUCUGUUGUGGAAUUCACCCAACCAGUGAAAUUCAUUUAAUGUGAUAUUUUAAGAAUAAUUUCAGAAUACCUUUGUCUGUGUUUAAUUAUCCCAGACAAGACUGAGUUACUAAAAUACUGCUGAAAAAGAGUAGAUGCUAUUAAUAUGAAAUAAUUGUGCAGUCACCUUCAAGGAAGGAUCUGUCAUGAACAAGUGUAACAAUUGCAGUUGCUACAGAUUCAAUCUGGUUACAAUUAGGAAUAUCAUGAUAGAGCAACAAAGCACAGUAUGUAAAAGACAUAAUGAAUGGGUUAUUCUUUUCUCCCUAUUCAUACUAUUGUUAACCAUGAAAAUCAUGACAAUUAUGACCGGUCAACUGUAAAUAGUUAAGGCCACUUACCAGACCUUUUAAACCUGUUUCUUUGAAAUUUGCUUGUUGGCAUUCUGCCACUUACUUAAUGGGAUACCAUGUCAUGUUGUGAGAAAAUAUAACUAUUAUCUUCAUGUGUAACAUCCAGGCACAAUUUACAAGGUAUUGACAUGGGAGAAUGUAUCUACUUCAGCUUAACAGAAUGUAACACAUUUGUACAAUGGAUAUUUUCUUUGCAUCAUGCUUUGAGUUACUGCAUUCAAGUGCACUGGGAUGCUAAAUAUUCUGGAGAUCCUUGAAGGAGAAAUAUAUUGUAUUAAAAUGUGUCAUAAUCCUUAAAUACUAUGAAGGAACAUAUCUAUAAAUGUACUGAUGUUUCUCAGUCACCACUUGUUACCAUGUUUUAUGCUUUAGACUUGCUGGUUAUAAGUGGCUUGGGAACAGACAUUUUGUGUAGAACUGCCCUUGAUAUGAAUGCACAAGGUUUUGUUUCAGUGACAUCAUGAAUAGGAACAGUGGACCAUGAGCUACAAUCCCUAGAAAGACUGCCGCUAGAGCAAUGCUUCAUUAUGUCACAUCAGGGGGAGUUUUAUACAAAAUGCUUGUUCCCAGAUUGCUUAUAACCAGUGAAGCUAAAGCAUAAAAUAUAGAAAUAAGGGAUGACUAAGUGAAAGUAGAGAUAUCUUCAUGUGUAAAAGCCCGUAAGACAAUUUGACAAAACACUUUAAAGGUUUAACUCUCAAGGCAAAUAAUAUUUCUGAAGUUUAUAUUCAGCUGCAGAGUAUAUUUGCAACAGUUAUGGUAAAUUAUUGUUCUGAUGAAGCUAAAGACAAGAAAGAGGCUGAUAAAUGUAAGCUUCCAAAUGAAAUUAGUGAAUCUUAAAUUGGCCCAGGAGAACCAAUUGUCUGCGAACUGGACUGUGGUGUGCACUAUGCCUUCUCAGAUUGGGUGAGUAUCAGCCUGAAAUGUGUCAUUACCUGUGAAAAGUGGCCCUGUGACAGCAGCCCUCAAGCAUGUCCCUUCUGGCAAGUCAUCUAAAGAGCAAUGCCGAUACCAUUUGCUGAGGGACUUGUGGGCGGAACUAUUGCAUCCUCCUUGUCCAUGAAUGAGGAUAUACGGAUUUGAGAUGAGGACCAGAAAAGAGGAGGGUAAACGCAGUGGUGAGGGAAUGAAAAGCUAAUGUUGCAUCUUAUUUAAUUUCUUACCUUGCACUGCAGACAUGUCAAAAGCACCACAAAAAGAGGAAUGUUAAUAAGUUAAUUGAAUAUUUUCAGAGUGAUACAAUUCUAAUUUGAAAGUUGGGAAAUGGUCUCAAGAAAUGAAAACCUCUUUUGAAAUGGAACAUUUAUCCUAAAGAAUACACUUGCAGGUUUAAAAUGAAUGCUAGUCUAAAUGAAUAUCAUCAGAGCAGAACUAUGUCACAUAUUUACAAAAGGUCAACAUCAAGUUAAUACAAUGGCCAAGGUUAUAACUAAAUUAAAAGCAAAAACACGUGGUGGUGUCUUCAUCAUAUUUUUGCUCACAUUAGGAAUCAAUGUUUCUUUCAGAGAAACCAAAAAGUUAAAUUCCUGCAGGAAGUAUGAUUUUGAUUUAAUCAAAUGAAAAAAAGUGAUCAAUUAUGAUUAUAAGCAAAAUCUUUACAAAAGUAUUUAAAGAGUUUAAUAAUUUGAAUUGUAUAAAUCUUUUUAAGCAUUUUACCCAACAAUAGAAGGCAGUCAUAAAAUAGAAUUUAAACACAAAUAGGGUUAAAAAGGUGUCUGUUUAUCCAUGAAAUUGUUCCUAUGAGAUUCAAUGUAUUACUAUAAACAUAGAAAGAAUUAACAGAGUUUACUGAUUAUUAUUUGUUUUUACAAUGCAUUUUAAUGUUAUCCAUGCUUAAAUCAGGUUUUUUUUUUGUUAAAUUGUUUUGGGAACACAAAUGAACAUUCUUGUCCCAGGAGCCAUCAUUAUGUAGUGUGACGACACAAUGUUUUUCAUGCAAGAUUAAUUUGACAGAAACCAGAAACUACUGCAGUCAGAAUCACAUGACUAUCAGCCCUAUAUAUGAUUGGCUCUCCUCAACAGCUAUUUGACGAUGUUCUUGUGACUAUGAGAUACAACUCUUUCAGCCAGUAGAAAGGUUGUUUUUCUUCUGUAUGAAUAUUAGCCCCACUUGUAAUUGCCUACACGAUUGGAACAAAUCCAGCUUCCCUCUCACCUCCCCAAUAAAAUGUGUUCUGUUGCUAAUCCGCAGCUGAUUUAGAUCAUUACAGUGCAAUCAAGUCUUCAUUUUAUGCACAAAAUCAUAUCACACAAUACAAAUGACAUUACUCCUAAAACUGUGAUACAUUAUCAUAUGUGCAAUAGUAAAGCCUGGGGUAAGACGGACUGGCAUGUUAGAUGAACCACUUCAAUUUCCCAUCAAUCAAAUUACAGUUUAUUGUUCAGCUGAACCACCUCAGGCAACACAAAUCUAGAAACUGUCAUUCAUGAAACAUUAUAUUUUUCCUGUCAUAUUAUGCCCCAGACACAAUCAUAUAAAGAAUGUCAUACUGCUACUGACUUCUAGAUCCCUUAAUUUAACAAAAGCUAACUCUACAACAUCGUACUCAGUAUACCAAGUUGUAACAGUAUUAGGUUACUCCAAUUUUAUUAAACUGCAUUAAGUAAAUUUGAUGCUUCCUAGACAAUGAUUUUUUUAAAAAAAUUUCAUUUACUACAGGAAGUUGUUGGUAAUAGUGUUUUCUAUGGAUCUAUCAGAACCCUGAAUGACUCCAUUUAAUGAAAUAACUGAAAGUGCAUUUUUUUUUGUAAGUUCACAUUUGCUAAUCAGUUAUUCUUGUGGGAGAAAAAUAAAUCACAGCUAGGCAUCUGGCCUGCUUCUGUGUGAUUAUAUUCACAUAUGUGCAUAUAUAAACACACAUACACAUACAGACACACACAGGCAUCUUAAUGGGAAGAUGCAUAUGUCAGGUAAGAUGUUCUCUUCAUUUCAUUUUGUAUAUUAAACAAACAUUAUCUGAUCACCUCUCCCCAUGCUUAAAUGAAAGAUCUCAGUAAUAGGGUGCUUAAGUGGGGUUUCACACAUUUACAUAUUUAAUGAACAAUUGAGUUCCACAGAAAGUUUGGAAUUGCUUACAUUAAAGCAGGUCUAAAAUUGAGAAUGCUUCAAUAUUUUAUUUACAUAAAUAUUUAUUUAUUUCAACCUCUGUAUCAAAUCUAGUUUUAUGGUCAGGAGUUUACAAUUGUUUUUUUCAUUAUUCCCCAUUUCCUUCAUGACCCCCCAGUCUCCACUACACUGUUGCUUUGUCUUUCUCACAGAAUGGUAGGAUUCUAGCUUCAGACUCUUCAUUACCAUCGUCAGUUUGACUAUGUAAUUUACUCAUUGAUGAGCUCUAUUCAAGAGCAGGGCUUGUUCAAUUGAUCCUCUGCCUGCCUAACUUGAAAUGAAGUGUUCCACACCUUGCAACCCUGUCUCAAAAUGCCACAGUUCCCCCAGCGAAGGCAGACAAGCUUAAGUGCCAGUCAAGUCUUGGAUUUAUACUUGAAACCAUUUGGUUGGGUGUGCAAUACUUUUCCACUGGCGCUGCUAUGUCCUCAGGAGGGCUUUGUUCCGAUAUACAUUAAUAGGUACAUGAUUUAUCACAAAACUCUUUAAAUUUGACAUGGCACAUUUACACAGUUAAAGUAGUAAAACAUGAAAAUACAACAUGCCGCAGCAUGCAUAAAUGUUCUCCUUGAAUAAUUAUGUUACAUUUGAAAGUUAGUAGGCAUGCACUAGCUUAUAGAAGCUCCUUGGAGUUACAGUGACUAAUGCAUUCCGAUAUAUGAAUGCAGUUCGUUCUGCUAUUACUCUACAGUUGUGCCCCUCUGCACCCAUGUGCUAUAGAAAAUCAUGAUGUUGAAGAUUGCUAAUAGAAAAUUCAGUAGAAAGCUUAUGUUAUCCAAACAAUGUCCAAAAUUCAUUAAUCUUGUUAUAGCUAACUCGCACUAAUGAAAUGUGCGUUAUAGCAGAAUGACCUGUAUGGUUUCAUAGCAGUUAUUUUACUAGAGUGAUAAUCCAGAGAACCUGAGUUAAAAGCCCACCAUAGCAUUUUGAGAAUUCCAAACAAUUAUAUAGUGUAAACAGAAUCAAUUUAGCUCCAUGUGUCUCUUGGAAAGGGUUUCCCCACCAUAUUGUACUUUUCCCAUAAGCUUCCAUUACUUUGGUUCCAAAGUGUAAAUCUAACUUCCUUUUGAAAGUUUCUCCUGAAUAUGCUUUUACUACCUUUCCAGGCAGUGCAUUCAAACUCACUGCUUUAGAAAUUUCUCCUCAUUUCACACCACCAUCCCAUGGGGAUCCUCCUGUUAUGGACCAUCCUGACUGUGGACAUUUCUCUACCUUCACACCAUAAAAAUCUUGGAUUUGUAGUCAGUUUUAUUUUUUUAAGAAACUGUCAAAAUAUAAUGUUGGUAUCAGUAAAAGUGAUCGUGAGGCUGUUGAAUUGUUGGAAAAAUCUAAAUGGCUCACCUUUAUCCUUCAGGGAAAAAAAAUAACACAUCAUUAACCCAUCCAAUCUACAACUAACCAACACAGUUGAUGUCUUAUUGCCCUCUAAAAUGGCCUAGCAAACUACUCAGUUGUAUCAAAAACCAUUUGCAAUAGUUUCGGAAAGUCUAUCAGUUCCUACUCCUGGAACAAAGGAUGGACAACAAAUGCUGGCUCCCAUUAAUGACACCCACAUCCCAACAAUGAUUUUAAAAUGCUUGAAGGACUAAAAUAGUACCUCAACUCUUUUAAAUGAAUCGUUUGAAUUUCAAAAUUAGAUUAAAUCUAAAUGUACAGCACUGUGAAAGAAAAAUUAUAAUGGACAUCUGGUUAGCCCCAGAAUGCAUGAUUCCCUUAUUGACAUCCAAACUCAUUAUUUUUGCAUAAUCUUUCAUAUUUCUAUAAUUAACAUGCAUUUAUUUAUCAAAUUUCUAACUUAUGAGAUUCUUCAUUCAAAAGGAAAUAGACUGAUUUUGGCAUGAGUUACUUAAAUGUAACAUGUAUGUAACCGAGCAGUAGUAAGUGUCGUGGCCUGCACUUUGUAUUUUCAUUUAUCAAUUACAUCAUCUUACAAUUUCUGAAUAUAUAAUUAACUGCUACCAAAUUUUAGAAUUUACACUUAAUAUGGAAUGCAUAUUUUUAAUGGUGCAGUUGCCUGUAUAAAUCCAUUUCUUUACUAACAUAGAAAAUAACAGACAACUUUGUUGUGGUUGGAAGAGUAAUGAAACGUAAAUCAUAAGAAUGCUUAUGAACAUCAUUUCUGCUCCCAUCAUUGCAGCAUCAAAUGCAUGCAUAAAUAUAUAUAUAUUUCAUACAUCACACAUAUAAAGAUUCUCGAUUUUCUAUUUAUCAUUUUGAGGCUCUUUUCUUAAUUAUUAACUUUCAAGUGCUGCAGUUUCCUUCUGCUGUUACCCAGUUACAUUUAUGAUGCAAUUUUGUGUUACACAGCAGUUUGUAAUGUUUCAACAAGAAGGUAUUGCAAGCAAAGAACUUGCAUGAGGUUAGCUGACAAGAUGGAAAGUUUGUACUGAAAAAUAUUAUCAUUAUAUACAUAUAAUGCUAUGCUCAGACUUACAACUAUUUUGAAGAUAAUACAACCAGAGUGCAAUUUGCAAUCAUUUCAUCUUCUCUGUUACCAGUGUCCAAGGCUGAUACAUCCAAUGACGUAGUACUACUUUUUAAAACUUGUGCAGAGAAUGAACCAUGCUAAUACGCACAUUAAUUCUUAAUAACAUGAAUACUGUAAGUGAGUGCCUUUUGCUGUUCUUCCUAGAAGAGUUUUGAUGAAUAUGUAAUAUUUUGGCAUGUGCCAACUUUCUUAUAGUAUUGACUUGAAUGGCACUGGUAUAUGGCAAAGAGAGGCCAAUCACUGCCUGAAAAGUGAGCGGUGGUUCCUGAAGAGUUGAAUUUCCCAUGGUUCUCCAACAGCAAUGCUGAUGUCAGCAAUAACUAGAAAUAUUAUGUUUCCUUAUCAUUUGCUGUGCCAAUCUUCUCUUACCAAGUUCAAAUCCAGGGAUGAAAAUUGUAAUUCAAGAUUUUCAGAAAGACACCCACAUAUUCAACAUGUUCCACUGCUCCGGCCACUGUAAAGUUUGACAGAACCAUCCCGAUAGUUCUGUUCAUUGUAAAGAAUAGUAAUUGAGGUUCUAUAGCAAAACAAAGGCACACAAUGCAUAAUCAGUAAAGUUCUAGUUGUACUGACACUUGAAAGAAGGGAAGUUCAAACUGCAUACAUGAAUUUACCAAGAGUUCCUUUGUGAUUCUGCAUCCACCAAAAUUGUGAUCCAUUCUUUACAAAAUUAAAACUAUCCUCAUUAAUGGCAAAUUCACAUUUCUUGCAUGAUUAAUGUGUGGACUCUAAAUUAUAACACAAUGAAUACAUUGUAUGAUUAAUACGCUUGGUGCCACCUGCUCAUGUAUGAAGAAAGAAUGUAAAUUAACGUGCAAAUUGCAAUGGAGCAUUUUAAACUAUAGUUAAAUUAGAAAAAAUAUUAUUUUAAUAUAUAUCUUAGUUAAAAUAUGAUGGAGACAUGUGCUAUUAGUUUAUUAAGUUAAUUGUCAGGACAAAGAUCAGCAAAUGGUGAAUUUUGAGGGAAACAUAUCUUUUUGGCCAUCUGUAGCAAAGAACCAUGGCCCAUGCUGACUAUAUUAUGUCAGUGCCAAAAUUUACACGAUGCAAGCACAUAAGUUGAAAACUUGCUUAUAGAAUUCACCCAUUUAACUCAACGAUUUAGUAUUGACAGAAUUUAACAUUUGCAAGAUGAUUUGUUGUUAAUUCUAACAUCAUCAAAGUGACUUCUGCACAAUUUAACAUGGCAUGUUGGGCACACUUUAAGUCAGAUGGUCAAUUAAAAGAAAUCAUUUAAAUUUGAUUUCACAUAGUUUUUUUUAAUUCAUACCGCAUAUUUGAAAGUAUACGCUGCAUAAUUUCCUUCACAUAUAAAAGCAGUACAAGGUUAUCAUACUCCAAUCAUAUGCCUUAAAUUUUGUCAUGGAAUAUUUGUGCCUUGCAUCCAUAUUGGGAUAUUACUGGCCUACAAUUGACAACUAUGAUCAAUCCAGAACUGAUCUUCAUUGAUGACUUUACAUAUUCUUUUUAAACAAUUAUUAUUGCACGCAAUUAGUAUUGAUGCCCAGCGCACAGAAUUCUGGAUUGCUAACCUAUGCUUCAGUGUGCAUGUUCUGGUGCAAAGCAAUCAUGAUUCAAAGUAGAAGCUGAAUUUUAGUUCUUAUUCAGUUUAGCUAUUGGUAUUCGACCAUGUUUAUACAAGAGCAAGAUCAAAUUAAAAUACCUGCAUGAAGAAAGGUUAUAGUGUUUGUUGACACAGUUUUGUGUGGCAGUUUGAAUAAAAUUGGUUCUUCUGGAUACAAAAAAGAAUGGAAUGGCCUCUGGAUGACUUUCUCUUUGUGUGGGAAAAUCACCCACGUCUGAUCUUUCUGAUUUAUAACUCUCCGCAUAAUUUUUUUCUGCUUUAAAGCCACAAAGCUUUAGAAAAAAAGAGAACCCUUUUAAGUGUGCAAAAUAAAGUGAUUUCAUUUGGAAAAUGCAAUAUAUUGUGUUAAUAUUGCAAGUAAAGAAAGAGUUAAAAUGUUAUUGCUCACUGCGCUCGGCCUUACAUAAAAGAAGUGUUUUGCAUAUUAACAGCAUCACAGGCUACAACACUGAUUAGAACAUUCUGCUUUAUAGUCAAAAUCCAUAGCUCAUUUUUUUCUGGAAAUAAUACCGUGGUAAUUAUAGAUCUCAUCAGCUGAUAAUUUCAUUGGCAUUGUACGAUAUUUCAAAGUGCUUAAUAACAAAAUUUACGCCAAUCAAUUCUUAUCUGUUUUUAAAAAGCAUUUGAAACAUUGAAAAAGGAUUGCAACAUUUAAAUACACACAGUAUCAGUCUACUUACUGAUCACAUUCAAUAUAUUUACUUGAUACUGGAAAUAAAACAGAAUAUGACAGUAGGAUUACAACAGAUAGUAUGUAUGUCAGAUGAUACAGUCGAUGUUUACGUAUCUUGCAAUGGAAGAGAAAUACCUCCUGAUAAACAAAUUAAACUGCACUGCUGUUCUGAUGAGCUGGAAGGUUUUAAAAUCUCAAAAGGCAUCACAAUCCAGAAGCCAUAUUUCAAGGUUCACUUCUUGCUUCAUAAAGCGAACACCUUUGCAUCUGUUACACUACUCGAAGCCACCAUAAAAUUGCGGGCAGUUAUAAUUAGAUCCGCUUUCACAUUCACGAAUAAUACUGUUGUUUGCCUGCCGCUUUGAUUAAAGCAACCAUUGUCUUCCAACAGCUAGCAUUAAUUCUUCCAAGAUGGUUUUCUGAUGAGGCGUUAGUUUAUUCCAGACUGCUGUUUGUUGUCUAAUUUACGCCAGGUCCCCGCUGUGUUCUGUUUAAACCACGCUCUUUGUCUUGCCUUUGAAAUUUACCAAAACUUACAAGAAAUCAAUAGUUAAUUGAUUAUUCACUUUUCUGCAGCUUCAAACAGCAAGCUUGCAUAAGAUCCUGGAGCAGUCGCCCUAUUUUCAAGGCAGGAGGCUGUUUGGUGGCAGAUAUCUACAAGCAUUUUACUGUAGGCACCCCCACGAGCUGUGCGGUGGCAUGCAAUGCCAGUACCCGAUAAGAAUAACGAAGACGGUCUAACGAAGCAGAGAAGUCACUGUGUGAGUUAGAUCCUUUUUACUGCUUUAAAUAAAUGCCGAUUUACUGGGGAUCAGAAACAAGAAUACCAUGUCCUUCCAGACAUUCCUCUGCUGUCACUUACUCUUUCCUUUUUGCAUGGCAUUGACCAAUAUGCCACUGCACCGGACUGAUGUAAAAUUUGCGUCGGAACUGGGAUGAGGCUUGUACUGUACCUCUGACAUGGAAUAAGGAUGGCAAGCACGUAACAUUACGAAAUCUAGGGCAAAUGCGAGAGAGAGAGAGAGAGAGACAGAUGGCGGAGCUGGCCAGAAGCCAAAGCCAGUGAAAUGAAUUACAUUGCUGAAUAACUGUACACCAUUGAUUCUGCCACUUGUUGCUGCAUGGCAAUAGGGGCCCUGAUGUUGGCAGGAAUCUCCUUACAUGUCAAUGUAUGCCUCAGACAACUUUUCACACAUAACUCACAACACUGACACCGAUACGUCGCAACAGACGGUGCCUUGUGCAAGAGAAGGAAAAGAAGCACAAUCUCUGCGAUCUGGCCAUUUUGCUUUUUGAAGAGUGGAUUACUGGCAUUCACAGACAUAGUUAUGUGCCACAGAACUCAUGUGUGCUGAGUUGAAAGUGAACACACCCUCCCCACACUGGGUGGCACAAAGAGGCAACUCUCCAUACAGCUACCACUGUGGGAUGAAGAUUUCACGAAUCGUCACUAUGCCUACAACGUGGCGUCCGAAUUCCAAAGGAGAAUAUUUACUGAUGGAUAGAAGGGAAACUUGGUCCCAGGGCUACAAUGUUUGGGUCUUUUCCGAAAGCCAGGCACAGUCGCAGCAGAUUGUUCAAUAAAUGCACCAUAUCCUGGAUGAAGCUAGACAUUAUGUGAUGCCCAGGGGGCUUUGGAAAUCAAAUACGAUGUUUGAAGUAGCACAAUUUGAGGUAUUAAAGACUAAUUACGAGAGAGAAAAAAAUUAUCAGGAACAGCCACCUAGUGGCAACAUCAUAAUUUCUUCCAGCCUUUGGGGAAGGAAGGAAAAUCAAGAUUCUUUGGAAAUAAAGGUUCCUGUUUGUUAUACACCAAAGUGUUAUGAUCUCAUGGGACCAUUCAACAAAUUUACAAAAACUAAGCAGUUGGCUGCAAGUGGAAUAACAACAAAUACCAAUUAAAAGACCAUGUGCCCAACCUACCAAUAAGGGAAGCUGA